CUCAGGCUGCGGGCUGCGGGUUGC
rnacentral:piRNA from 1 species